UACAUAGGGUGCAAGCGUUGUCCGGAAUUAUUGGGCGUAAAGAGCUCGUAGGUGGUUAGAUACGUCGGAUGUGAAAAUCAGGGGCUCAACCCCUGACCUGCAUUCGAUACGGUCUAGCUAGAGUGUGGUAGGGGAGACUGGAAUUCCUGGUGUAGCGGUGGAAUGCGCAGAUAUCAGGAGGAACACCGAUGGCGAAGGCAGGUCUCUGGGCCAUUACUGACACUGAGGAGCGAAAGCGUGGGGAGCGAACAGGAUUAGAUCCCCUGGUAGUCCACGCCGUAAACGGUGGGCGCUAGUUGUGCGAACCUUCCACGGUUUGUGCGACGCAGCUAACGCAUUAAGCGCCCCGCCUGGGGAGUACGAUCGCAAGAUUA
rnacentral:rRNA from 1 species